rnacentral:rRNA from 1 species
AGAGUUUGAUCCUGGCUCAGAUUGAACGCUGGCGGAAUGCUUUACACAUGCAAGUCGAACGGCAGCACGGGUGCUUGCACCUGGUGGCGAGUGGCGAACGGGUGAGUAAUGCGUCGGAACGUACCGAGUAAUGGGGGAUAACGCAGCGAAAGUUGUGCUAAUACCGCAUACGCCCUCCGGGGGAAAGCAGGGGAUCUUCGGACCUUGCGUUAUUCGAGCGGCCGACGUCUGAUUAGCUAGUUGGUGGGGUAAAGGCCUACCAAGGCGACGAUCAGUAGCGGGUCUGAGAGGAUGAUCCGCCACACUGGAACUGAGACACGGUCCAGACUCCUACGGGAGGCAGCAGUGGGGAAUUUUGGACAAUGGGGGCAACCCUGAUCCAGCCAUUCCGCGUGAGUGAAGAAGGCCUUCGGGUUGUAAAGCUCUUUCAGCAGGAACGAAACGGUACGCUCUAACAUAGUGUGCUAAUGACGGUACCUGCAGAAGAAGCACCGGCUAACUACGUGCCAGCAGCCGCGGUAAUACGUAGGGUGCGAGCGUUAAUCGGAAUUACUGGGCGUAAAGCGUGCGCAGGCGGAUUGUUAAGCAAGACGUGAAAUCCCCGGGCUUAACCUGGGAACGGCGUUUUGAACUGGCAGUCUAGAGUGUGUCAGAGGGGGGUAGAAUUCCACGUGUAGCAGUGAAAUGCGUAGAGAUGUGGAGGAAUACCGAUGGCGAAGGCAGCCCCCUGGGACAACACUGACGCUCAUGUACGAAAGCGUGGGUAGCAAACAGGAUUAGAUACCCUGGUAGUCC